rnacentral:rRNA from 1 species
UUAAGUGACUAAGCGUACACGGUGGAUGCCUUGGCAGUCAGAGGCGAUGAAAGACGUAGUAACUUGCGAUAAGCCCAGAUUAGGUAGUAACAACCAUUUGAGUCUGGGAUUUCUGAAUGGGGAAACCCACGUGCAUAAGCACGUAUCCUUACCUGAAUACAUAGGGUAAGGAGGCGAACCGGGGGAACUGAAACAUCUAAGUACCCCGAGGAAAAGAAAUCAACCGAGAUUCCGAAAGUAGCGGCGAGCGAAAUUGGACUAGCCCUUAAGCUUUACACGCGUUAGACGAACGGUCUGGAAAGUCCGACGAUACAGGGUGAUAGUCCCGUAGUUGACGACGUGUGUUCAGUGAAAUCGAGUAGGGCGGGACACGUGAUAUCCUGUCUGAAUAUGGGGGGACCAUCCUCCAAGGCUAAAUACUACUGACUGACCGAUAGUGAACCAGUACCGUGAGGGAAAGGCGAAAAGAACCCCUGUGAGGGGAGUGAAAUAGAACCUGAAACCGUGUACGUACAAGCAGUAGGAGCAGGCUUUGUCCUGUGACUGCGUACCUUUUGUAUAAUGGGUCAGCGACUUAUAUUCAGUGGCAAGGUUAACCAUCUAGGGGAGCCGUAGGGAAACCGAGUCUUAACUGGGCGUUCAGUCUCUGGAUAUAGACCCGAAACCAGGUGAUCUAGCCAUGGGCAGGUUGAAGGUUGAGUAACAUCAACUGGAGGACCGAACCGACUAAUGUUGAAAAAUUAGCGGAUGACUUGUGGCUAGGGGUGAAAGGCCAAUCAAACCUGGAGAUAGCUGGUUCUCCCCGAAAGCUAUUUAGGUAGCGCCUCGGACGAAUACUACUGGGGGUAGAGCACUGUUAAGGCUAGGGGGUCAUCCCGACUUACCAACCCUUUGCAAACUCCGAAUACCAGUAAGUACUAUCCGGGAGACACACGGCGGGUGCUAACGUCCGUCGUGGAGAGGGAAACAACCCAGACCGCCAGCUAAGGUCCCAAAUUACUACUAAGUGGGAAACGAUGUGGGAAGGCUCAGACAGCCAGGAUGUUGGCUUAGAAGCAGCCAUCAUUUAAAGAAAGCGUAAUAGCUCACUGGUCGAGUCGGCCUGCGCGGAAGAUGUAACGGGGCUAAGUAGUAAACCGAAGCUGCGGCAAUGUGCUUUUGCACAUUGGGUAGGGGAGCGUUCUGUAAGCGGUUGAAGGUGUGUGGUAACGCAUGCUGGACGUAUCAGAAGUGCGAAUGCUGACAUGAGUAACGAUAAAGGGGGUGAAAAACCUCCUCGCCGGAAGACCAAGGGUUCCUGUCCAACGUUAAUCGGGGCAGGGUAAGUCGACCCCUAAGGCGAGGCCGAAAGGCGUAGUCGAUGGGAAACGGGUUAAUAUUCCCGUACUUCUUACAAUUGCGAUGGGGGGACGGAGAAGGCUAGGUGGGCCUGGCGACGGUUGUCCAGGUUCAAGUGCGUAGGCUUGAGAGUUAGGUAAAUCCGGCUCUCUUUAAGGCUGAGACACGACGUCGAGCCACUACGGUGGUGAAGUCAUUGAUGCCAUGCUUCCAGGAAAAGCCUCUAAGCUUCAGAUUGUAAGGAAUCGUACCCCAAACCGACACAGGUGGUCGGGUAGAGAAUACCAAGGCGCUUGAGAGAACUCGGGUGAAGGAACUAGGCAAAAUGGUACCGUAACUUCGGGAGAAGGUACGCUCUCGACGGUGAAGUCCCUUGCGGAUGGAGCUAUUGAGAGUCGCAGAUACCAGGUGGCUGCAACUGUUUAUUAAAAACACAGCACUGUGCAAAAUCGUAAGAUGACGUAUACGGUGUGACGCCUGCCCGGUGCCGGAAGGUUAAUUGAUGGGGUUAGACUUCGGUCGAAGCUCUUGAUCGAAGCCCCGGUAAACGGCGGCCGUAACUAUAACGGUCCUAAGGUAGCGAAAUUCCUUGUCGGGUAAGUUCCGACCUGCACGAAUGGCGUAAUGAUGGCCACGCUGUCUCCACCCGAGACUCAGUGAAAUUGAAAUCGCUGUGAAGAUGCAGUGUACCCGCGGCUAGACGGAAAGACCCCGUGAACCUUUACUACAGCUUGGCACUGAACAUUGACCCUACAUGUGUAGGAUAGGUGGGAGGCUUUGAAGCACGUACGCCAGUAUGUGUGGAGCCGUCCUUGAAAUACCACCCUUGUAGUGUUGAUGUUCUAACGUUGACCCCUAAUCGGGGUUGCGGACAGUGCCUGGUGGGUAGUUUGACUGGGGCGGUCUCCUCCCAAAGAGUAACGGAGGAGCACGAAGGUGGGCUAAUCACGGUUGGACAUCGUGAGGUUAGUGCAAUGGCAUAAGCCCGCUUGACUGCGAGAAUGACAAUUCGAGCAGGUGCGAAAGCAGGUCAUAGUGAUCCGGUGGUUCUGAAUGGAAGGGCCAUCGCUCAACGGAUAAAAGGUACUCCGGGGAUAACAGGCUGAUACCGCCCAAGAGUUCAUAUCGACGGCGGUGUUUGGCACCUCGAUGUCGGCUCAUCACAUCCUGGGGCUGAAGUCGGUCCCAAGGGUAUGGCUGUUCGCCAUUUAAAGUGGUACGCGAGCUGGGUUUAGAACGUCGUGAGACAGUUCGGUCCCUAUCUGCCGUGGGCGUUGGAAGAUUGAAGGGGGCUGCUCCUAGUACGAGAGGACCGGAGUGGACGAACCUCUGGUGUUCGGGUUGUGUCGCCAGACGCAUUGCCCGGUAGCUAAGUUCGGAAUCGAUAACCGCUGAAAGCAUCUAAGCGGGAAGCGAGCCCUGAGAUGAGUCUUCCCUGAUACUUUAAGUAUCCUAAAGGGUUGUCGGAGACUACGACGUUGAUAGGUCAGGUGUGUAAGUGCUGUGAGGCAUUGAGCUAACUGAUACUAAUUGCCCGUGAGGCUUAACCAU